UGGGGAAUAUUGGACAAUGGGGGCAACCCUGAUCCAGCAAUGCCGCGUGUGUGAAGAAGGCCUGCGGGUUGUAAAGCACUUUCAGUAGAGAAGAAAAGCUUACGGUUAAUACCCGUGAGUCUUGACGUAACCUACAGAAGAAGCACCGGCUAACUCCGUGCCAGCAGCCGCGGUAAUACGGAGGGUGCGAGCGUUAAUCGGAAUUACUGGGCGUAAAGCGCGCGUAGGCGGUUUUGUAAGUCGGAUGUGAAAUCCCCGGGCUUAACCUGGGAACUGCAUUCGAUACUGCAUAACUAGAGUAUGGUAGAGGGAAGUGGAAUUUCCGGUGUAGCGGUGAAAUGCGUAGAUAUCGGAAGGAACACCAGUGGCGAAGGCGACUUCCUGGGCCAAUACUGACGCUGAGGUGCGAAAGCGUGGGGAGCAAACAGGAUUAGAUACCCCCGUAGUCC
rnacentral:rRNA from 1 species